CCAAUAGCGUAUAUUAAAGUUGUUGCAGUUAAAAAGCUCGUAGUUGAAUUUCGGGGUCAGUAGGUUGGUCGUGCCACCGGUACGUACUGGUCUCACUGAUUCCUCCUUCCUGAUGAGCUGUAAUGCCAUUAAUUUGGUGUUGCAGGGAAUCUGGACUGUUACUUUGAAAAAAUUAGAGUGUUUAAAGCAGGCUAACGCUUGAAUACAUUAGCAUGGAAUAAUGAAAUAGGACGUUCGAUCCUAUUUUGUUGGUUUCUAGGAUUGACGUAAUGAUUAAUAGGGAUAGUUGGGGGCAUUAGUAUUCAAUUGUCAGAGGUGAAAUUCUUGGAUUUAUUGAAGACUAAAUACUGCGAAAGCAUUUGCCAAGGAUGUUUUCAUUAAUCAAGAACGAAAGUUAGGGGAUCGAAGACGAUCAGAUACCGUCGUAGUCUUAACCAUAAACUAUGCCGACUAGGGAUCGGAUGAUGUUAAUUUUUUAAUGACUCAUUCGGCGCCUUACG
rnacentral:rRNA from 1 species